AACAUUCUCUUAAAACUAUUCCUCGAUCAUUUCCUGUGAACUUAUUCAUUUGGAUCAACCACUUUGCUACCUGCUUAUUACCAAGUACCAACAUCGAUGCUUAGAUAGUAACGAUUACAAUUUACAAAGACAUAACAGUCUUGAUCUACGGCUCCACCUGCCAUAGUCGCUUUUGGUCUUCAUCGUCAAUACGUUACGUAUGAUGUAUCCAAUAUGCCAUGUUCGUUGUGCAUUUGUGAACUAUCUAUUUGCUGUUAUCCAAGCUUGAAACAAGUGCUGGACUAAAUUGUCUGCAGCUUAUUUGAACUUUUCUUUAUUACCAUAGCAAUUGGUUCUCCAAUUCACGCCAUCCAUUCUCAAAUUCAUCUCAUAUGCUACUUUGAAAACUUGCUUCUCAUUUCUUUCAAUUCUUGAGUUUUCAAGAGGAAGUGGUUUUUUAAUCUUUCUCACAAGUUUUCUUCUUUGAAAAAAAAAAAACAAUUAUUUUACUCUUGAUCAUUAUUUUUCCGAGAUAAAUGUAUCGACUACAAAAAAAAAAAAGAGAACAAUUAUCUACAUAUAAUUAUCACAAAUUAUAUUAAAUAGAUAAAAUCUAUAACCAUCUACUUGAGCAUGCAUAUUUGUGAACUCUUUUAACUAAAAAAAUCUAGUGCAUGAAUAGCGUUAUAUCAUCUCGAAAACGUAUUUCACUCAUUCAGACAAAGAUAAACAAAGAAAGAAAAGUUCUUUAUUAAUUAUACACUUGGAAGCCUUCAAAUCCUGAAAACACUACAGUAACACACUAGAAUGUAGAAAAAGCAAAGGAAAAUAAUAGAAGACAACGUUAAAGACUUUGUUCAAUGACCGGCUCCUCUGUGACUAGGUCCAGAAUAAGCCCGAUUGAUUAUUAAGCCUAUGAAGGCAGGAGAAGAAGACUGAUCUUUGAGAGUUCUCGUGCUCUCUACAUUGUUGGAGUAUGAGAGUAAUAAGAGUAAGAAGAUGACGAGAAAGAUUGCGUUAAAUGCCACUGCAAGAGAGUAACCCUUCAUUUUUGUAGCUGCUAAUUUGGAUAGUAUACUAAUU
rnacentral:lncRNA from 1 species